AUGUACAUUGGCCAAAUUGGGUACCUGAAGCCAAUUAGAGCACCUGAAGCUAGUCACCUGAUACAAACCCCCUGCUUCAAUCAGCUAGGGGAAGGAGUUGGAGAAGAGUGGUUUGGAGUUGGAGAAGAGAGUAGUUUGGAGGAGUUGAAGUAGAGGAGAGUCUGGAGAAGUACCAUGGCUGGCUAGAAGACCAAGACCCUAGGUAAAGACACACCCAGCUUGUGCAGAGAGAGAGGGCAGGAAGCCCCACAAGCUGAAGAGCAGGAGAAGGAAGUAGCCCAGGGGAAGGAAGCACGAGUUCAAGUGGUUUAUCACUAUCCCUAAGGCCCCUGGGCUGGGACCUGGAGCAGAGGGCAGGCCCGGGUCCCUCUCUCUCCACUACCCUUCUCUGGGU